UUAAAUAAUAACCUAUGAUAUAUAAUCAGAAACAAAUUAUAUUUGAAAUGGAUGUGGAUAAAAUAGUUCAUUAGAAAUACAACGAUCUAAUUCAUUCGGUCGCUAAUCCGGUUGCUGGUCUGAAAGCCGCUCUCAUUAAGCCGGUAUUUGAUCUGGAUCAUAAAGCUGCAGCCAUUAUUUUUCGCCCAAAUAUUAUUUAUUUAUACAAUCAAUAUCAAAUUCCACCCAUCCCCACGCAGUAACUGAAAUAUGUAUCCGUUUUUCCCCUGAAAAGUAUCAGAAUACACAACUUCAUUAUACGUACAUAUUCGUCAACCUCGAUCUUAUACUGCCUUAAAAUUGAAGUUGAAGGGAAAAUUGGUAAAAUGGUGAUGCGGAAUCGACUUAUGGAAUCGCUAUUCAAUAUUUGUCGUCGAAAUUUUAUCGCUCAAGUGCGACUCAAAUUCUUUCAUCGGCUCAUAACACAUCUGUAUUUGACUACGCUCGAAAUAAUUGACGUCGAAUAGUUGAUUCUGUCUAAUACACUAUCCGGAGACUUCUGUUGCACGCUUGUUGUUAUACAACUCUUCAUAGUUUUUCAAGUUCUCAACCUAAUUGCCAACGUGCAUAGCAAUGCACAACUCUUUAAUUGCUGCACUUGUUAUCAGUUUUCUCACACGCUUCUCGGGAGCUGCAAUAACUUGGAAUGCAACGUUGUAUCGGGAUGUAUCGCAACAAAAUGUUCUGCAGCAGGUAUCGGGAGUCGUAUGCCAAGACGUGGAUGCCUCUAAUCACGACCAAACCUCCUCCAUCAAUACCCAUGACACGUGCGUAAUAGUUUGGGCAGAGCCUGGUUGUAAAGGGAACCACAAGAAGAUACAACCUGGCACUCCACAUCAUGAUGAUUUUAAUCAGCUCGGGUUCAACGAUAUCUUGUCAUCGGUUGGGUCUUGUUGAAAAAGGAAAGAAAAUUGUCGUGCAUUUGGUAGCUCGCUGAAAAAAAAUCGACUCUUUUCAACGAAGAAAUCUGUUUUCUUGACAGCAUCCUGUUGCGCUGAAAUAAUGCUCCUUUAUUUCGUCAAAUAUCGCCCGGAGGCUCAAAUAUUUAUUGCCUUUCAAAAGCUCGAACUCUAAAAUGUAAUGAGACAGCUAAGGUUAUUUUAAACACCUGCUGGUUAUUAUAGGAAGUGAAGCUUCAAACAAAACAAAUUUUGUGUUUAUCGUGUCACAGUUUGCGGUGAAUUUAGCGCCGUAAACAAUGGAGGGGUUUGGAAAAUUCAUUCCUUCGAAUGGCGUAUCGGUAUUCACCAUUCUUUUUUUUUUUUUUUUUUUUUUUUUUUUAAUUGCCGCGAAAAAAUAGCUGGCAUUUUCUCUUGAAAGUGUCAAGAAGGGACAAGAAGACAAGGGUUUUUUGUUGUGUUAUUUCCCGUUUUGACCAAAUUUUGUGUUGAAAUUUCUCUCAGUGUACAGUCACAACCAAGAACGAAAAAGCGAACGAAAAAACAUAGGAUAAAAUAACGAUGAAUUUCAGCAAUAGCCUAAAAUUAAUUUUUGAAUCAUAAGCAAUGAUUCAGUGGAAAUUUAUUCAACGGUAAUAAUUUUGUUAAAAACCAGUGUGAUGUUCUUUCUCUUCUUUGUGCGAAAAAAAAUUCUAUGAAUACUGUAAUUAAUUAUUUCAAUUUUCCCCCGUAAAACAUAAAAUCGGAACGGAGAUAUCAAAACUAUGGAAACGAGAUACGCAUUUCGCGGUCUGGAAGUUUCACCGUCGUUAUAUCCGCAUCUUUCAUCGAUUAUCGAUAUUUCCUCAUUUGUAGGUAUGGUAUAAAGAAUCGAUUAUUAAUAGGUGUUCGCUGCAAACACCCUGUCUAUCGAUCCUUUCCCGUGGGUUUAAAUGGCAAAUCAAUCUAUAUACCGCAAAGCACGCCACGCCACUGAUUCCGCGGCGAUGAAUUGGACUGCAUUUGCAGUACGAAUAAGCGCUAUUCAUAGGGAGCCAGGAACAGUAGUUCCAAUGGUGUUGCGUGUUUUGCGAUAUAUCGAUCGAUAUUUCACUUGAACCUAUGAAAAAGGAUCGAUAAACAGGGUAUUCGUAACGAACACCUUCGUAAUCGAUUCUUUACCGUAGCUUCAAAUGGGGAGAUAAUAAGCGAUCAUCCGUGCCUCGUUACUGCAAGUAGUUCCUUAUUGGAGAAUGUAGUUCAAUUGAGCACCGUGCAUGCACGCCUGAGAGGUCGUGCCACGAAGCCGGGGCUCUUUCGCGAGAGCGCUUCCGCAUCAUUUGAACGCAUCCGAGCUGAAAUAUUUGAGUCGAGAGGUGCCGUGCCGGCUAGUGUUUGCAUACGCGGAGCGCGCGAGAAAAGUCGGGAGGAAAUUGGAAAGCGGACCCCUCGCGCCGCUCACGGGUUCUCAGUCCUAUGUGCUCUGGAAAACGGGUAUUUCACAUGGAGAAAAAUACUUCGUGCGUGGGACCCGAGGUUGAGGUCGUAUGGAUCUCCGAAGUUUUCUGAUCACGCACCCGAAAACUUGAGGUCGAGCUGCCGAAGUUCGGGUCAGACAUCGAGGCACUUCGGUAUGUACCGGAGUACUUCAAAUGUGUGACCCGAACAUCGGCAGCUGGACCUCA
rnacentral:lncRNA from 1 species